UACGUAGGUGGCAAGCGUUGUCCGGAAUUAUUGGGCGUAAAGGGCGCGUAGGUGGAUCAUUAAGUCUUGAGUCUAAGAGCGGUGCUCAACGCCGUAUAGGCGCAGGAAACUGGAGAUCUUGAGUGCAGGAGAGGAAAGCGGAAUUCCCAGUGUAGCGGUGAAAUGCGUAGAUAUUGGGAGGAACACCAGUGGCGAAGGCGGCUUUCUGGACUGUGUCUGACACUGAGGCGCGAAAGCCAGGGGAGCGAACGGG
rnacentral:rRNA from 1 species